GUCCUGUUCUGGAGCGAGGCCUCCUUUCGUGGCCGCCCUACAUCCCUGCGCUGCCGCGCUUCAGUCGCUGCCCUCCAUCCUCGCCGCCCUCCAUCCUGGUCGAGGUCGCCGCUCCGCUUCACUCGCCGCCCUCCAUCCGCGUCGAUCCUGGACAAGGUCGCCGCGACCCUCCAUCACUUCGCCGCCGCGCUGAACACCUCGACGAUCCGGCGCGGGUCCUGGAUCAGGGGUCGCCGCCGCCCUCCACUUCAGGAGACGGAGCCGAUCGCGUUGAGGAUCCGCCGCCCUCGCACGUUAGAGCCGCCGCCCUCGCACGAGGGAUCCGGCGACAGUCCCCUUCAGGAGGACGCCAAUCCCCCAGAUCCGGCGCUGUUCCCGUUGAGGUCCUGAUGCCGAUCAGCGCGACAGACCCGAUGGCAGCUGACGGGUGUGGAGGGAGGUGGGGUAGAUCCAGUGCGUGUGCGUGCUGAACUGCUGAUGAACCGGUUGUAGCGCUCAAUCCCUGCCAAGGGCCAGCGUGGUCUCUGGAAGAGGUUUGGUCCGGGCAUGGUUGGUGAUUCCCAGGGUUGCCGGUCUUCAUCUCUGCUGUCCAAUGAUUCUUUUAUUACAGUUGAAGGCGCCUGUCAUUGGUGUGCAAGCCAGACCUGAGGGACGACCAACAGAACAUCCUUGAGAAGACGAUAGCACCCAUCAUCCAAUCGUUCCAUGGGAUUGUGACCUGCAUUGAAAUUUCAGUGCUAUGCGUUCUGCCAGACUGAGAUCAAAAAGACCCCCAUUGUAUCAAUUUACAUUCGUAACACUUUAUUAUGUCAAUUUGUUGAUUGUUCUAACAGUUGCUCAGCCUCACGUAAUAUUCCAACAGUGCAUAUUUUUUGUAAUUUUGAUUGUUCGUUAGAGUUCUAGAUACUAUGCUCGAGUAGAGUAGGUUUACUAUAACAGAUUGUUUAGGAAUCACAAGUGCAGAAGGUCUUCUACCAUCUGUGGUGUGAGGGUUUUGAAGCAGAUAUUCAUUCUAUGUGACCACGACGGGGAUGAAAUAGGGAAACAAGAUUCAGAUAUAUGAUUUGAGGUUCGUAGUGGAGAAGAGCUGUGAGAAACUGCAGUUGCUUUCUUUUAUUGGCAGUUUUGGCAGAACAGGGGAAGUGCACAC